UCAGCUCCCAGGUGGAUCCUGGACAGGAUGCUGCAGGUGGUGCAGGAGGGGAACCCUGCCCCAUUUAUCAUCAACACAAUAAAAAGGGGUCGAAGUGUCCGAGAGCGCCAGAGGACGCCAUGGGCUCCACAUCCGCUUGGAUUCCAGGAAAGGCGGUACAUCUACGAAAGCCCUAAUCAUAGAGGGAAAGACUGCUCGUUCCUGGCCCAGAAAUGAGAUGAGAAAUCCAGGGCCCCGUACAGGAAGGCCUUUUGCAAAGUCCAGACUCAAUUGCCUUCGCAGCCCUUAAAGUUUCUUUAGGAAGGUCUGUGGGAGAACGAGGUUGGUUUAGGAAUUGGCCCCUGCCUUGUACUACGUAGUUUUGUCAUCCAAAGUGUUUUAGAAGUUAAUUGAAUCAUAGUUACGCCUUAUUUUGAAACACUGUCAUUCAGAGAACUUAAAACCUUAUUAAUAUGCCUCAUAAUCA
rnacentral:lncRNA from 1 species